UCGGGUGAGUCAAGUCGUAGUUGGAUGGAUUUUAUAGCGGCGGCUUUCAGUUUAUAAACGAGCGUCACAUUGUACGGUUGGGAAAGUGUGUGCUGUCGCAUGUUAAGGGCUUUCAAACAGCAAAGCACGAUCGUUAAACAAUUCAAGCUAAUAAAAUAAAAUUGACGCUGUUGCAACGCGCGCGAUCGUAUGUACAUAUCGCAGACGUUAUGUUUUUAAUGCGAAAAAACUUCAGCAAAAAUACCUGACUUUGACGUAGGGAGUUAAAAAUACGAGUGCAUUACGUUACAACUAUUUUCACUUACAGCAGCAGUAAAUGACAACUUCAUGCAUACAUAUAACGACAGCAGUGUGUGUGUGUGUGUAUGUGAAGGGUGUGUUCUUCGCGUAAAAAGUCAGUACAACGAAAGUAUGUACGUAAUACAAAAACAUCCGCAUUAAAAAGCGAAAACAGUCGGUAACUCAAAUCUUUGCUGAAUAAAAAGAAUGUACAAAAUAUUAAAAAAAAAAACACGAAGAAAUUAUACUUCGUAGUGUUGCCAACUACAAAGUUAUUUAAUCAUUAAGUCAAUCGAACACCACAACAAAGAAACACAAGAGACUGUCGUCACUCAGUCAUUCAACGAAUCGUUCAGUUUUGUGCGCAAAAUUGCAAUUGGAUACUUUUCAUUUUUUCGAGUGUGAUUUUUUUUUUGUUGUUGCUUUAUCUUUGCAUCAUUAUAUAUACGGCUGGAAUAAGUGCAUUUAUAAUAUGUAAGCAAACGCUGGCGACGACGAGUCAUAUUACCAGCUGAGUCGCUCUACAGCUAGCUAGCCAGGCAACCGCACGCCAAAGCAAUUGCACCUGACUGUUGGCUAAGGCUAUAAGAAAGAAAUAAAUUCAAGCAGCAGCAACAAAAAACAAAGUCAAACGAGUAUUUAAUUUUGGACUACUUGAAUUGCUGUGCUGUGGCGAAACAAAACCGUCAUACGGCGUUAAGCUGUUUUCGAAUCUUCUGUUUUUUAAUAUGAUUUUCAACUUCUCGUUUUGUAAGAGGUGAGUUGAACUACAACAAAUUUGAG